rnacentral:lncRNA from 10 species
CGUUUGGGCAUAUUCAACCAACACCUUCUGUCUUCAGCUUGAUGAGUAAGGAAGGACUGAAAGGAGUACAUACUGAAGGACUAAUACAGACCCACAGACCCCGGCUGCUCUCAUUUGCUCCCACACCCUCACCUCCUCACCUGCUGAGGUUGCCUGCCUUCCUACACCCACCAUGGACACAGCUUCCACCCUUCUUUGCCAAUGAAGGAGCUCCAGCAAGUGGGGCUGGAAUUCUAUGGCAGUACUGGCUGUGCCUG